UGAGCAACCUGCCCUUGACUCUGGAAUAACAGUUGGAAACAGCUGCUAAUACCGGAUAUGACUCUGUGCGACAUCACACGGAGUGGAAAGCCCUGGCGGUCAAGGAUGGGCUCGCGGCCAAUCAGCUUGUUGGUGAGGUAACGGCUCACCAAGGCUUCGACGGGUAGCCGGCCUGAGAGGGCGACCGGCCACACGUGGGACUGAGAUACCGGCCCAGACCUCGUACGGGGAGG
rnacentral:rRNA from 1 species